CGGGGAGUGGCGCAGCCUGGUUAGCGCGCUUGCCUUGGGAGCAAGAGGUCGACGGUUCGAAUCCGUCCUCCCCGA
rnacentral:tRNA from 2 species